UUAAACUGCCCUGAAAACUCAGUCCUCUGAGCUUCAUACUAGUUUUAGGUUUGGAAUCUUCCUGUUUGUGAACAGUUUGUUUCUCCCUCAGUAAAACAUUUCUAUCCGGUAAAGCUCUCUAAAUUUUCUUUUAACCGUUGUUGUCAGAAGUAGAAUGGGAAGAAGAGCCCUGAAGAAAACCCCAAAGCUGGAUUUCUUUCCGCUGCGGCGCCACGGGAACUCCUACGCUCAGAGAUUUCUGGUCGAUCUGGUAUCCCAGCUCUGUUGCCUUUGUCUUCUGCUCUCGGAUUUCGUUAAGGCACCUUUAUGGAAGCUUCAAAAGGGCCUCACCCACGGCAUAUGGAGAUUCCCAGAAUGGGAGUCUAUUCAGAGCUGUACUGCAGUCAAAGAAAUGCCAGAUCAGAACCAGAUCUGUGAAAUUACAUCACAGUUCAUGGCAGUGCUUGAUCUUAACCCACUGAGAGAGACCAAGGAUCGAACCUGAAACCUCAUGGUUCCUAGUCCGAUGCAUGAUGGAUCUAGGGCAGGUAAGUAGCAACCUUGUCAUGGGGAGCGGUCAAAUAUUUGAUCACCUAAUGCUGUCUACCUAAGGAUUGAUGAGCAAAGGAAGAAAAUGACUAUAUACAAUAUUAAUAAGGAACAAUGACCUACUGUAUAGCAUGGAGAAACCUAGUCAAUACUCUGCGAUGGCCUAUGUGGGACGAGAAUCUGAAAAAGAAUGGAUAUAUGUAUGUGUAUGACUGAUUCGCUUUGCUGUACACCGGAAGCUAACACAGCAUUGUAAGUCAGCUAUGCUGGCAUGAAACAGUUUUACUGUAUUGGAGUGGAAUAAGUGGAAAUACACUGUUCUGAUGAAAAACUGGGAAGAAAACCAAAACUAAGUUAAAGUGCACCAAAAUGUAUCCUUUUGAUUGAAAAACAUAGUGGGAGGAAAACAAAAAAAAAAAAAAAAAAAAAAAAAAGAAGGGAGAAAAUAGGAAGAAAUCGUUCUAAUGAAAAAUUGUAAGCGGGGGGUGGGGGUGGGGAGAGAAGUGUGCAUAUUGAAAUGUAUCAUUCUGAUAAAACAAACAGAAAACAGUAACAAAACGGACUGUGAGGAAAAGAAACCCCAAAAGUAAUAGUAAAAGAGCGAGAACCGAAAUAAAUCGUUGCAAUGAAAAAUCAUAAACAGAGGCGAAAAUGAAAGAGAAAAAAGCAGUGUGAAUUGGAAUUCAUUCUUUUUUGAUGGAAACCCGGGAUCUGAGCCGGGUCUCCGACCUGCUCGACCCACACCACAGCUCGAGGCAACACAGCGGUGAUCCUUAUACGUAACCAAUUUUUCAGCAGUGUCUGAAGGAAGGAAACUGCAAAGUUUUGAAAUACUCAUUGUUUGAAUGUAAAAGAAAGGGAUAUUGAUGUUGCUAUGCUGAAAACAAGAAAGGAUUUUCUCUGGUCCUUGACACAGAGAUGCCAACAUAAGAAACACUUUUUGUGACAUCCAUUCGGUUGGACCGGUUUUUUUUGUUUGUUGGUUGGUUUGUUUGUUUCCUUUGGCUCUGUAACACCCAAGAGAAUGGGUGCGUUUUGGGAUUCCGUAUGUAUAAAGUAAACGAUUCUCUUGCCCUAAGUUAUUUUUAGAAGAAAAAUGUAAUUGAACAGUUAUGGGCUGGGAAUAUAACAGUUGCGUUUUAAUAAUUGUUCUGAAGCAUAGAGAAUGGAAAGGUUGUCAUGUUCAGACUUGAUAACGCAACCAAAUGAUGCAAUUUGUACAUCCUUUGUGAGUACUGUGAGGGCCACUGAUGGGCCUGCUAAGAUCAACUUGGAACCUGGGGAGAAAAGGUCUGUUACAAAAGUUUAGGAUAAAACUUUGUUUUAUGAAGUCUGUACUAAUGUAGUUCUAAGGUAAAUUGUGAUUGGUUUGUUGGGGGUGGUGGUGAGAAGACGGAGAGAUAUGGUGGAUGGAGGGCAGGUAAGUAGCAACCUUGUCAUGGGGAGCGGUCAAAUAUUUGAUCACCUAAUGCUGUCUACCUAAGGAUUGAUGAGCAAAGGAAGAAAAUGACUAUAUACAAUAUUAAUAAGGAACAAUGACCUACUGUAUAGCAUGGAGAAACCUAGUCAAUACUCUGCGAUGGCCUAUGUGGGACGAGAAUCUGAAAAAGAAUGGAUAUAUGUAUGUGUAUGACUGAUUCGCUUUGCUGUACACCGGAAGCUAACACAGCAUUGUAAGUCAGCUAUGCUGGCAUGAAACAGUUUUACUGUAUUGGAAUGGAAUAAGUGGAAAUACACUGUUCUGAUGAAAAACUGGGAAGAAAACCAAAACUAAGUUAAAGUGCACCAAAAUGUAUCCUUUUGAUUGAAAAACAUAGUGGGAGGAAAACAAAAAAAAAAAAAAAAAAAGAAGGGAGAAAAUAGGAAGAAAUCGUUCUAAUGAAAAAUUGUAAGCGGGGGGUGGGGGUGGGGAGAGAAGUGUGCAUAUUGAAAUGUAUCAUUCUGAUAAAACAAACAGAAAACAGUAACAAAACGGACUGUGAGGAAAAGAAACCCCAAAAGUAAUAGUAAAAGAGCGAGAACCGAAAUAAAUCGUUGCAAUGAAAAAUCAUAAACAGAGGCGAAAAUGAAAGAGAAAAAAGCAGUGUGAAUUGGAAUUCAUUCUUUUUUGAUGGAAACCCGGGAUCUGAGCCGGGUCUCCGACCUGCUCGACCCACACCACAGCUCGAGGCAACACAGCGGUGAUCCUUAUACGUAACCAAUUUUUCAGCAGUGUCUGAAGGAAGGAAACUGCAAAGUUUUGAAAUACUCAUUGUUUGAAUGUAAAAGAAAGGGAUAUUGAUGUUGCUAUGCUGAAAACAAGAAAGGAUUUUCUCUGGUCCUUGACACAGAGAUGCCAACAUAAGAAACACUUUUUGUGACAUCCAUUCGGUUGGACCGGUUUUUUUUGUUUGUUGGUUGGUUUGUUUGUUUCCUUUGGCUCUGUAACACCCAAGAGAAUGGGUGCGUUUUGGGAUUCCGUAUGUAUAAAGUAAACGAUUCUCUUGCCCUAAGUUAUUUUUAGAAGAAAAAUGUAAUUGAACAGUUAUGGGCUGGGAAUAUAACAGUUGCGUUUUAAUAAUUGUUCUGAAGCAUAGAGAAUGGAAAGGUUGUCAUGUUCAGACUUGAUAACGCAACCAAAUGAUGCAAUUUGUACAUCCUUUGUGAGUACUGUGAGGGCCACUGAUGGGCCUGCUAAGAUCAACUUGGAACCUGGGGAGAAAAGGUCUGUUACAAAAGUUUAGGAUAAAACUUUGUUUUAUGAAGUCUGUACUAAUGUAGUUCUAAGGUAAAUUGUGAUUGGUUUGUUGGGGGUGGUGGUGAGAAGACGGAGAGAUAUGGUGGAUGGAGGGCAGGUAAGUAGCAACCUUGUCAUGGGGAGCGGUCAAAUAUUUGAUCACCUAAUGCUGUCUACCUAAGGAUUGAUGAGCAAAGGAAGAAAAUGACUAUAUACAAUAUUAAUAAGGAACAAUGACCUACUGUAUAGCAUGGAGAAACCUAGUCAAUACUCUGCGAUGGCCUAUGUGGGACGAGAAUCUGAAAAAGAAUGGAUAUAUGUAUGUGUAUGACUGAUUCGCUUUGCUGUACACCGGAAGCUAACACAGCAUUGUAAGUCAGCUAUGCUGGCAUGAAACAGUUUUACUGUAUUGGAGUGGAAUAAGUGGAAAUACACUGUUCUGAUGAAAAACUGGGAAGAAAACCAAAACUAAGUUAAAGUGCACCAAAAUGUAUCCUUUUGAUUGAAAAACAUAGUGGGAGGAAAACAAAAAAAAAAAAAAAAAGAAGGGAGAAAAUAGGAAGAAAUCGUUCUAAUGAAAAAUUGUAAGCGGGGGGUGGGGGUGGGGAGAGAAGUGUGCAUAUUGAAAUGUAUCAUUCUGAUAAAACAAACAGAAAACAGUAACAAAACGGACUGUGAGGAAAAGAAACCCCAAAAGUAAUAGUAAAAGAGCGAGAACCGAAAUAAAUCGUGGCAAUGAAAAAUCAUAAACAGAGGCGAAAAUGAAAGAGAAAAAAGCAGUGUGAAUUGGAAUUCAUUCUUUUUUGAUGGAAACCCGGGAUCUGAGCCGGGUCUCCGACCUGCUCGACCCACACCACAGCUCGAGGCAACACAGCGGUGAUCCUUAUACGUAACCAAUUUUUCAGCAGUGUCUGAAGGAAGGAAACUGCAAAGUUUUGAAAUACUCAUUGUUUGAAUGUAAAAGAAAGGGAUAUUGAUGUUGCUAUGCUGAAAACAAGAAAGGAUUUUCUCUGGUCCUUGACACAGAGAUGCCAACAUAAGAAACACUUUUUGUGACAUCCAUUCGGUUGGACCGGUUUUUUUUGUUUGUUGGUUGGUUUGUUUGUUUCCUUUGGCUCUGUAACACCCAAGAGAAUGGGUGCGUUUUGGGAUUCCGUAUGUAUAAAGUAAACGAUUCUCUUGCCCUAAGUUAUUUUUAGAAGAAAAAUGUAAUUGAACAGUUAUGGGCUGGGAAUAUAACAGUUGCGUUUUAAUAAUUGUUCUGAAGCAUAGAGAAUGGAAAGGUUGUCAUGUUCAGACUUGAUAACGCAACCAAAUGAUGCAAUUUGUACAUCCUUUGUGAGUACUGUGAGGGCCACUGAUGGGCCUGCUAAGAUCAACUUGGAACCUGGGGAGAAAAGGUCUGUUACAAAAGUUUAGGAUAAAACUUUGUUUUAUGAAGUCUGUACUAAUGUAGUUCUAAGGUAAAUUGUGAUUGGUUUGUUGGGGGUGGUGGUGAGAAGACGGAGAGAUAUGGUGGAUGGAGGGCAGGUAAGUAGCAACCUUGUCAUGGGGAGCGGUCAAAUAUUUGAUCACCUAAUGCUGUCUACCUAAGGAUUGAUGAGCAAAGGAAGAAAAUGACUAUAUACAAUAUUAAUAAGGAACAAUGACCUACUGUAUAGCAUGGAGAAACCUAGUCAAUACUCUGCGAUGGCCUAUGUGGGACGAGAAUCUGAAAAAGAAUGGAUAUAUGUAUGUGUAUGACUGAUUCGCUUUGCUGUACACCGGAAGCUAACACAGCAUUGUAAGUCAGCUAUGCUGGCAUGAAACAGUUUUACUGUACUGGAAUGGAAUAAGUGGAAAUACACUGUUCUGAUGAAAAACUGGGAAGAAAACCAAAACUAAGCUAAAGUGCACCAAAAUGUAUCCUUUUGAUUGAAAAACAUAGUGGGAGGAAAACAAAAAAAAAAAAAAAAAAAAAAAAAGAAGGGAGAAAAUAGGAAGAAAUCGUUCUAAUGAAAAAUUGUAAGCGGGGGGUGGGGGUGGGGAGAGAAGUGUGCAUAUUGAAAUGUAUCAUUCUGAUAAAACAAACAGAAAACAGUAACAAAACGGACUGUGAGGAAAAGAAACCCCAAAAGUAAUAGUAAAAGAGCGAGAACCGAAAUAAAUCGUUGCAAUGAAAAAUCAUAAACAGAGGCGAAAAUGAAAGAGAAAAAAGCAGUGUGAAUUGGAAUUCAUUCUUUUUUGAUGGAAACCCGGGAUCUGAGCCGGGUCUCCGACCUGCUCGACCCACACCACAGCUCGAGGCAACACAGCGGUGAUCCUUAUACGUAACCAAUUUUUCAGCAGUGUCUGAAGGAAGGAAACUGCAAAGUUUUGAAAUACUCAUUGUUUGAAUGUAAAAGAAAGGGAUAUUGAUGUUGCUAUGCUGAAAACAAGAAAGGAUUUUCUCUGGUCCUUGACACAGAGAUGCCAACAUAAGAAACACUUUUUGUGACAUCCAUUCGGUUGGACCGGUUUUUUUUUGUUUGUUGGUUGGUUUGUUUGUUUCCUUUGGCUCUGUAACACCCAAGAGAAUGGGUGCGUUUUGGGAUUCCGUAUGUAUAAAGUAAACGAUUCUCUUGCCCUAAGUUAUUUUUAGAAGAAAAAUGUAAUUGAACAGUUAUGGGCUGGGAAUAUAACAGUUGCGUUUUAAUAAUUGUUCUGAAGCAUAGAGAAUGGAAAGGUUGUCAUGUUCAGACUUGAUAACGCAACCAAAUGAUGCAAUUUGUACAUCCUUUGUGAGUACUGUGAGGGCCACUGAUGGGCCUGCUAAGAUCAACUUGGAACCUGGGGAGAAAAGGUCUGUUACAAAAGUUUAGGAUAAAACUUUUUUUUAUGAAGUCUGUACUAAUGUAGUUCUAAGGUAAAUUGUGAUUGGUUUGUUGGGGGUGGUGGUGAGAAGACGGAGAGAUAUGGUGGAUGGAGGGCAGGUAAGUAGCAACCUUGUCAUGGGGAGCGGUCAAAUAUUUGAUCACCUAAUGCUGUCUACCUAAGGAUUGAUGAGCAAAGGAAGAAAAUGACUAUAUACAAUAUUAAUAAGGAACAAUGACCUACUGUAUAGCAUGGAGAAACCUAGUCAAUACUCUGCGAUGGCCUAUGUGGGACGAGAAUCUGAAAAAGAAUGGAUAUAUGUAUGUGUAUGACUGAUUCGCUUUGCUGUACACCGGAAGCUAACACAGCAUUGUAAGUCAGCUAUGCUGGCAUGAAACAGUUUUACUGUAUUGGAAUGGAAUAAGUGGAAAUACACUGUUCUGAUGAAAAACUGGGAAGAAAACCAAAACUAAGCUAAAGUGCACCAAAAUGUAUCCUUUUGAUUGAAAAACAUAGUGGGAGGAAAACAAAAAAAAAAAAAAAGAAGGGAGAAAAUAGGAAGAAAUCGUUCUAAUGAAAAAUUGUAAGCGGGGGUGGGGGUGGGGAGAGAAGUGUGCAUAUUGAAAUGUAUCAUUCUGAUAAAACAAACAGAAAACAGUAACAAAACGGACUGUGAGGAAAAGAAACCCCAAAAGUAAUAGUAAAAGAGCGAGAACCGAAAUAAAUCGUUGCAAUGAAAAAUCAUAAACAGAGGCGAAAAUGAAAGAGAAAAAAGCAGUGUGAAUUGGAAUUCAUUCUUUUUGAUGGAAACCCGGGAUCUGAGCCGGGUCUCCGACCUGCUCGACCCACACCACAGCUCGAGGCAACACAGCGGUGAUCCUUAUACGUAACCAAUUUUUCAGCAGUGUCUGAAGGAAGGAAACUGCAAAGUUUUGAAAUACUCAUUGUUUGAAUGUAAAAGAAAGGGAUAUUGAUGUUGCUAUGCUGAAAACAAGAAAGGAUUUUCUCUGGUCCUUGACACAGAGAUGCCAACAUAAGAAACACUUUUUGUGACAUCCAUUCGGUUGGACCGGUUUUUUUUGUUUGUUGGUUGGUUUGUUUGUUUCCUUUGGCUCUGUAACACCCAAGAGAAUGGGUGCGUUUUGGGAUUCCGUAUGUAUAAAGUAAACGAUUCUCUUGCCCUAAGUUAUUUUUAGAAGAAAAAUGUAAUUGAACAGUUAUGGGCUGGGAAUAUAACAGUUGCGUUUUAAUAAUUGUUCUGAAGCAUAGAGAAUGGAAAGGUUGUCAUGUUCAGACUUGAUAACGCAACCAAAUGAUGCAAUUUGUACAUCCUUUGUGAGUACUGUGAGGGCCACUGAUGGGCCUGCUAAGAUCAACUUGGAACCUGGGGAGAAAAGGUCUGUUACAAAAGUUUAGGAUAAAACUUUGUUUUAUGAAGUCUGUACUAAUGUAGUUCUAAGGUAAAUUGUGAUUGGUUUGUUGGGGGUGGUGGUGAGAAGACGGAGAGAUAUGGUGGAUGGAGGGCAGGUAAGUAGCAACCUUGUCAUGGGGAGCGGUCAAAUAUUUGAUCACCUAAUGCUGUCUACCUAAGGAUUGAUGAGCAAAGGAAGAAAAUGACUAUAUACAAUAUUAAUAAGGAACAAUGACCUACUGUAUAGCAUGGAGAAACCUAGUCAAUACUCUGCGAUGGCCUAUGUGGGACGAGAAUCUGAAAAAGAAUGGAUAUAUGUAUGUGUAUGACUGAUUCGCUUUGCUGUACACCGGAAGCUAACACAGCAUUGUAAGUCAGCUAUGCUGGCAUGAAACAGUUUUACUGUAUUGGAAUGGAAUAAGUGGAAAUACACUGUUCUGAUGAAAAACUGGGAAGAAAACCAAAACUAAGUUAAAGUGCACCAAAAUGUAUCCUUUUGAUUGAAAAACAUAGUGGGAGGAAAACAAAAAAAAAAAAAAAAAAAAAAAAAAGAAGGGAGAAAAUAGGAAGAAAUCGUUCUAAUGAAAAAUUGUAAGCGGGGGGUGGGGGUGGGGAGAGAAGUGUGCAUAUUGAAAUGUAUCAUUCUGAUAAAACAAACAGAAAACAGUAACAAAACGGACUGUGAGGAAAAGAAACCCCAAAAGUAAUAGUAAAAGAGCGAGAACCGAAAUAAAUCGUUGCAAUGAAAAAUCAUAAACAGAGGCGAAAAUGAAAGAGAAAAAAGCAGUGUGAAUUGGAAUUCAUUCUUUUUUGAUGGAAACCCGGGAUCUGAGCCGGGUCUCCGACCUGCUCGACCCACACCACAGCUCGAGGCAACACAGCGGUGAUCCUUAUACGUAACCAAUUUUUCAGCAGUGUCUGAAGGAAGGAAACUGCAAAGUUUUGAAAUACUCAUUGUUUGAAUGUAAAAGAAAGGGAUAUUGAUGUUGCUAUGCUGAAAACAAGAAAGGAUUUUCUCUGGUCCUUGACACAGAGAUGCCAACAUAAGAAACACUUUUUGUGACAUCCAUUCGGUUGGACCGGUUUUUUUUUGUUUGUUGGUUGGUUUGUUUGUUUCCUUUGGCUCUGUAACACCCAAGAGAAUGGGUGCGUUUUGGGAUUCCGUAUGUAUAAAGUAAACGAUUCUCUUGCCCUAAGUUAUUUUUAGAAGAAAAAUGUAAUUGAACAGUUAUGGGCUGGGAAUAUAACAGUUGCGUUUUAAUAAUUGUUCUGAAGCAUAGAGAAUGGAAAGGUUGUCAUGUUCAGACUUGAUAACGCAACCAAAUGAUGCAAUUUGUACAUCCUUUGUGAGUACUGUGAGGGCCACUGAUGGGCCUGCUAAGAUCAACUUGGAACCUGGGGAGAAAAGGUCUGUUACAAAAGUUUAGGAUAAAACUUUGUUUUAUGAAGUCUGUACUAAUGUAGUUCUAAGGUAAAUUGUGAUUGGUUUGUUGGGGGUGGUGGUGAGAAGACGGAGAGAUAUGGUGGAUGGAGGGCAGGUAAGUAGCAACCUUGUCAUGGGGAGCGGUCAAAUAUUUGAUCACCUAAUGCUGUCUACCUAAGGAUUGAUGAGCAAAGGAAGAAAAUGACUAUAUACAAUAUUAAUAAGGAACAAUGACCUACUGUAUAGCAUGGAGAAACCUAGUCAAUACUCUGCGAUGGCCUAUGUGGGACGAGAAUCUGAAAAAGAAUGGAUAUAUGUAUGUGUAUGACUGAUUCGCUUUGCUGUACACCGGAAGCUAACACAGCAUUGUAAGUCAGCUAUGCUGGCAUGAAACAGUUUUACUGUAUUGGAAUGGAAUAAGUGGAAAUACACUGUUCUGAUGAAAAACUGGGAAGAAAACCAAAACUAAGUUAAAGUGCACCAAAAUGUAUCCUUUUGAUUGAAAAACAUAGUGGGAGGAAAACAAAAAAAAAAAAAAAAAAAAAAAAAAAAA